rnacentral:tRNA from 1 species
ACCUACUUAACUCAGCGGUUAGAGUAUCGCUUUCAUAAGGCGGGAGUCAUUGGUUCAAAUCCAAUAGUAGGUA